GACGAACGCUGGCGGCGUGCUUAACACAUGCAAGUCGAACGAAAAUACCAAGCUUGCUUGGUUGAUUAGUGGCGAACGGGUGAGUAACACGUGAGUAACCUGCCCCUUACUUUCCUGGAUAACUGCUCGAAAGGGUAGCUAAUACGGGAUAUUCUGACCAGUCUGCAUGGGUUGGUUUGGAAAGGUUGUUUUUCUGGUGAGGGAUGGGCUCGCGGCCUAUCAGCUUGUUGGUGGGGUGAUGGCCUACCAAGGCUUUGACGGGUAGCCGGCCUGAGAGGGUGGACGGUCACACUGGGACUGAGAUACGGCCCAGACUCCUACGGGAGGCAGCAGUGGGGAAUAUUGCACAAUGGGCGCAAGCCUGAUGCAGCGACGCCGCGUGAGGGAUGAAGGCCUUCGGGUUGUAAACCUCUUUCGUCAGGGAACAAGGCACUGCUUUUGGUGGUGUUGAGGGUACCUGGAUAAGAAGCGCCGGCUAACUACGUGCCAGCAGCCGCGGUAAUACGUAGGGCGCAAGCGUUGUCCGGAAUUAUUGGGCGUAAAGAGCUCGUAGGCGGCUGGUCGCGUCUGUCGUGAAAACUUCCGGCUCAACCGGGGGCUUGCGGUGGGUACGGGCCGGCUAGAGUGCGGUAGGGGUAACUGGAACUCCUGGUGUAGCGGUGGAAUGCGCAGAUAUCAGGAAGAACACCGAUGGCGAAGGCAGGUUACUGGGCCGUUACUGACGCUGAGGAGCGAAAGCGUGGGGAGCGAACAGG
rnacentral:rRNA from 1 species